AUACUAAAAUUGCAUCAUCCAAAUAUUAAUGCUUCAAAGUAUUUCAACAGAAAUAUCCAAAAGAUUCAUUGUUGAUCCUACAAAAUAAUCACAAAUUCACACUUACACAAGUAUAACAAAAUUACUUCAUCCAAAUAUUAAUGCUUCAAAGUGUAUUUUCACAGUCAUAUCCAAAAGAUCCAUAGUUGAUCCUAUAGAAUAAUCACUAAUUCACAUUUGGACGAUCAUCAUUGUUACUUUCAUCUAAAGAUCUUCUUACUUUCAUCUAAAGAUCUUCUUGGUUCAACUGUUGAUGGUGCAUCACUUCCUAAAUCUGGUGCCUGAAAAAAAGGAAGAAAAAAUACAGUCAAUAAGCAAAUAACUAAAAUUUUAACAGGUGAACUAAAGUAGUAGGACUGGAUAUACAGAAAUCACAUUGAAAUCAAUGAGUUUAAUCACCAAAAAGGUAACUACACGGCUUAGGAAACCACUUUAUGUUAAAAAAGAACGAUAAGAAAAGCAAAUAACUAAAAUUUUACUGUAGUAAGAGAACUUAUACCUGUGGAGGAGUGGAAAAUAAGUGAGCAAACUCCUCGGGAUAUUCCCUAUGUUCCUUUCAUAUAAGCUAAUCAGUGCAUUUAAUUUUGAUUUCACAUCUGUCAUCUCUUGCUGCCACUCCGGAGUUGGAGCGGUAGUGCUAGAUGAACACACAUAACCACGACAGUAUCUCACAUAUGUCUGUUUGAAUGCUACGGUUGGAACUACACCCAAGCCUAAACCUCGAACACAGCCGAGGUGCUCGGGACUGAAUACUAUGCCAAGUGCAUCAGGCCGUACUUGUUGGCAACCUCUCAUUAUUUGCAGAUGAAGAAGCCAAGCAAAUAUUGGAACUUAAGUUUGACUUCCCAACCAUCAUGUAUAGCUGGAGAGAUUACUCUCAGAGAAUAACCGGUUGUCAAAAUUUCUUGGCUGAAUUUGAGAAAACUAAGUCAUUGUUGGAAACUUCAACUAAAGAGGAGGAGGAUCUCAAGGAUAGAUAACUGGAGAACAAGGAGAAGGUAUUGAUAGAUAACUGGAGAACAAGGAGAAAGAAUACUCAAUCACUUGAAAUUCAUAUGUACCUAUAACAUCAACAAACCAAUGAGGCUCUUCAUUGCUAGUACUACGUCCAGUUUGUCGUGAAGAAACUGCACCAGAUGAUGAAGAUGGAAUGGCGGGCUGAGAAGAUACCCCAUCAGAUGAUGAAAAUGAUACAACAUGCUGCGAAGAGACUCCAUUAGAUGAUGAAGAUGGAACACUGUGCUGCGAAGAGACUCCAUCAACUGGAAUAACAGGCUGUGUGGGUUGUGUAGGCAGUGUAGAAUGUAAAGAGACUCGAUAAGAUGUUGAAGAUGAAGCUUGAGCCUGUGAUGACUGCCUCGGAACAAGUGAAGAUCUCUCUUUGACUGAUUUGAAUUAAUUUUUAACCCUAUUUUGCUUCGGCAUCUCUACAUACAUAAAGGUAUAUAAAGCAAAACAAGAAAACCUUGAUACGAAAUCAGUUUAAAUUUCAAGAUAAAAAUAACUUAAAGCUUAAUUAAUGAAAGAAAGUAGCUAGAUGCAAGAACAUAAAGCAAGUUAAGAACAAAAAAGGACAUAGCUAUAAUCUAAACUAAUUUGAAACGAAAAUAUAUUAAGAUGCUUCCAACUAACCCGUGCUCAAAAGCAAAAAUCCAAAAAUUGUCUUAGACCAUCUAUAUAUUCAGGUGUGUUUCGUGGUUUGCUGAUCCAAUAUUUAUCAAUUGGCAUGGCUAAAAAGGAAGACAUAAGAUAACAUCACAAUAUCAAAACUAAAAAGAUAGUUCAAAAGCAAAAAAACAUAACCUGUGAAAUAACACCACUUACAGAGGACAAAACAGUGGACAGAAGACAUUUAAAAUGAAAGUACUCCUGAUGACCAGUGGUCAAACUUCAGCAAUCAAUUUACUCCUAUUAAUAUUCUCAAAUAAAAAUUAAUGUAAAACUGAAAAAGGAGGGAGAAGCUUAAUAGGAUUCAAGAACAACAACAUAUAGCUACAUGAAUCACUAAAUGUGCAGAACAUGUAGGAUACCAACAACAUACUUAUCAACUAGUCAUCCAAGUAAGCAGGUUAAAUACAAAACAUGGGCUACAGGGAAAUAAUUUAUAAGAUCAACAUAAUGUCACAAGUAGACGAGUCAAGUUAAUCUAGAGGUACAAAGACACCAAGAAAAGUUCAAGAACAUGAUGCAAUUAGCUUAGAUGAUAUGAUACUACUGUUUAACUAAUAGAGGUAGAUUAUGCACAAAAUCAACAUAAAGGUUAACUCAGCUAAUCAUAGAGACUUAAUAAGAUUAACCAUAAGUCUAUCACUUAAUAUAGAAGAAGGCAAUCAGGCAGGGUAGCGAAACACUUUGGGAAUUUGGAUUUGAAUGUGGAGUUCAGUAAUGAGCUUGAAGAGCUUAUAAUUCAGAUAAGCCUAUGAAAUCUAUUACUAUGUAAACAAACAUAAAUGAGCACAAAAUAAAUGAACAAGCUUGGAAGAUCUUCAAUUGUGCCCUCAACCCUUCAAACACAAGGGCAAAUACUGAAUUUCAACUAAAAUUAGAAUGACAAACUCUCAUUUAAAACAUUAACUGAGACUAGGAGAAAUUGUCAAUUUUUGUUUCCCUCUGUGAACAUAGCCAAAGAAGGAGAUGACAAGGCGAAGAUUGAGGCAGUUAACGCCAUUUAAGUAUCCAAUAAAUUUUGUGUGCAAUGUUUAACUAAAAAUGCACAAUCAAUUUGAGAUCUUUUGUAAUUAAUUGUCACGACCCGAAAUUCCCACCCUCGGGAGUCGUGAUGGCGCCUACUCGUAGAAGCUAAGCAAGCCACGAAUCAUAAACUCCAAACUCCUUUAUUUUAAAUUCUUUUUAUCAAGCAUAACAUCAGGCAUUAAGUAUUUAAAUAACAGCGGAAAUAUGGAAUUAAAGCGGAAGACUUAAAUUAAAUAACUACAAGUAAUAAAAGAAACAACAUAACUCGGAUAUCAACAAAGAAUCAGAAGUCAACAAAUGCACGGCAUCAUCCUUCGUGCUUUUACUCUCUUUCCUCACCAUAUAAUCAAUAAAAUCGGCACGGAAUGGUACAUCGUGCAGCACGGCAUCACCCUUCGUGCUUUACACUCUUUCCUCACAAUAACAAAUAAUGCACGGCAUCAUCCUUCGUGUUUUAACACUCUUCCUCACCCAAACAACAAUCACAAGCAAGGGGUAAGGGAAUAAACAAAAUAGUAAUAGAGGUCCCAGCAAGGGAACAACAGUUAAACGAUUAAAUCCCGCCAAGGGAACAUCAAUUAAACAAUUAAAUCCCAAUAAGGGAACAACAAAUAAUUUAACAAUAGCCCGACAAGGGUGUCAACAUAUGAUCUCUUCUCUUUCUCAAUUUUACUCCACAAUUCACUUCACAACCCGAGCCAAUGCUCUAGAGGUUCGGUUAUCACUUAUACUUUCACAAUUUCACUAUACAACUUGAGCCAACGCUCCUCAAUGUUCAUAGGUCACAAACCUUUCCACAAACUUUAUACAGCAAUUGGAAAUCUUCACCAAGGCAUGAAUAAUACAACGAAAUCAUGAAAUUCACAAUAUAAGACUCACGGUCAUGCUUGACACCUACGUAUAGAUACUCGUCAUCAUGCCUAUACGUCGUACUCAACAAGAAACAAAUAACAAAUAGGACACAACUCUUAAUCCAUCAAGCUAAGGUUAGACCAAAAACUUACAUCGAUGCAACGAACACAAUUCAAGCCUCAAUUACCGCUUUACCCCUCGAUUCCACCACCUAUCCGCUCGAAUCUAGUCAUAAGUUACUUAAUUACAUCAAUAAGUGCUAAAUGAAUCAACCCCAAUGCAUGAAAAUGAGUUUAUCCAAAAUUUUAUCCAAAAAGUCAAAAUCACCCCGGGCCCACGUGGUCGAAACUCGAGGUUCGGACCAAAACCCAAUUACCCAUUCCCUCACGAAUCCAAAUAUAUAAUUUGUUUUGAAAUUAGACUUCAAAUUAAGGUCCAAAUCCCCAAUUUUAGAAAAAACCUAAGUUCUACCCAAAACACCCAAUUUUCCCCAUGAACAUCUUUGAUUUGAAGUUGAAAUCAUGUUAAAAGAUAUUAAGAAGUGAAGAAAAUGAGUUAGAAAUCACUUAAUCACAUUUUGGAGAAGAAAGGUUAUUUGAAAAAUCGCCUCUUAUAUUUUUUUGGGGGGUUUUGAAAAGUGAAAAAUAGCUGAAAUUCCCGUCUAUUUAUACCCCUCUCAGACCCCCUGUGCGGACCGCAUCAAAUGGACCGCAACCGCACAGGCUUCCCCCGGGAACCGCACAAAGGCGAUCGCGGCCGCGCUGGCCUCCCUAAAGACUUGCAAUUCAGCACCCUGUGCGGACCGCACAAGGCCGACUGCAGCCGCACAGCCUCCACCGCAGACUGCACAAAGGCGAACGCAACUACGCUGGCCCCUCCGCAGUCGCACGUGAUUUCUCACGAACCGCAUUAGAGGGUUCAGAGAUCUGCAACUUUUUCCUAAGUUCAAAACUUGCUGAAACCCAUCCGAAACACACUCGAGCCCUCGGGGCUCCUAACCAAACACACGUACUAAAUCAACAAUAUCGUACGAACUUAUUCAAGUCCAAAACACGUCAAACGAUGUCCGAUUUUAACCAAACUUUACAAGAAGGACUUAAAACAUAUAUAAGACUUGUAUCGUGCAUCGGAACAAAAAUACGGACCCGAUACCAUCAUUUUCUAAUCAAAUUUCAUUUCAAAUUUCCUCAAACAAUUUCUGAAAACAAUUUCACUUAAAAAUUUAUUUCUCGUGCUUGGGACCUCGGAAUUCGAUUCCAGGCAUACGCCCAAGUUCCAUAUUUUCCUACAAACCCUCUGAGACCGUCAAAUCACGGGUCCAGGUCCGUUUACCCAAAAGGUUGACCGAAGUCAAACUAACUCAUUUUAAAGUCAAGACUUAACAUUUUUCACAGAAUUUCAUCUUUAAGCUUUCUGGCUACGAACCCGGACUGCGCACGCAAAUCAAGGCUACUCUAAAUGAGGUUUUCAAGGCCUCGGAAGCACAAAAUGGAUAAGAAAAUAGGUGAUGACCCUUUGGGUUGUCACAUUAAUAGGCCAGAAGCUACAUUAAUGUUGCAUCAGGUGUCAUUUAAAACAGCGAGAACAAGGAAACUUGUAAUGUUCAAACUCUAAGUUACGAUUUAUCAAUGGCAUAAAGAAAAUACAGAAAUUUCAAACUAAAACAUCCACCAUUCAGCACUAGUAUCUCUUAGAUUCAGAUAAACACAAAUAAAUAUAGAAAUUCGUAGAGAUAAUACUCCUAUGAAAUCUGUUUAAUAAAAAAAUCUGCUCAAAAGAAAGGAUAAAAUUAAACUGAAACGAGCUAUACCUAUCAAAUGUUUUACUGUCAACGUCGAUCCCAAUAGUUUCACCGGUAGUUUUUGGUCUCUCGGCUACAUAUCAAGCCCAUAUAUAAUACUUAGGUUAAUAUUAGCAAGUACAACAUAUUAAAAUAUCAAAAUUAACUGCAUGCAAUCGAAAUACCAAACAAAGCAUUGGGAAAAAUCGGACUGAGGAAAAUCGAAAUACCAAACUGUAGCGAAAUCAUUGAUUAUCGGACUAAGGAAAAAGAAUUAGAACAAAUUGGGAAAAUUUUAUACAUGCAUGAACCCUAAUAAAGAGAAAAAUAACUUUUGGUACUAUACAUGAACCCUAAUCGCUACAUUACCUGAUUUGAACCUCGAUUCUUAUCAAUUUCAUGCCUCAGUUCCAAUUGUUUUACCUAAAACAGAGGAAUGGUGGAUAAGAGUGAGUUUUACCUUCAAGAAAAAUGAAUCGUGAAAUUGGGGUAAGCGUGAGUUUUAACAAAAAAUUUUGGAGGGAAAGGAUGGAGGGAUCUGGAAGGAAAGGAUAAUUUUUGGGAGGGAAAGGGUAAGUUUCAUAACCGAGCAGAUAGUCAUUUGGGGAAUUCUGGAGGGAGUCUCA
rnacentral:lncRNA from 1 species